rnacentral:lncRNA from 1 species
CAAGAUUACUUAUAUCCUAUGUAGUACACAGAUUGAUCCGUCCAUUUCAACAUAUAUUUGAGAGGAAUCAGUGCUCCUUAGUUUAUGUUUUUAUAUUAAAAAAGGGUAUGAUGCUUAUGUUCUACACCUUGACCUUCUAAGAAAUCUUAUUCUCUCCUAAAGCACAAGAAUGUUCAUUUCUUGCAAACAGGAAUGAAUCCAUGUUU